UAAGGCUUCCCAUGCUGCCGAAACACAAGAACACCACGGAUGAAGGAGGUUGGUUAUCGAGCCAUUGCAUGAUGCUACCAUGCUGAGCUUGUUGGGGAUGCCACUGUGCCGGUCCAACAAGGUCAAGAACUGGACCAAUGGGAUAGAUGGGAGGCCAAUCAUCAUUCCCAUUAGAGACAGAGUCGAUGGCAUAAGAUUCCAGUUCUCUAAACGUGUUCACAACGAUCCCCUUGGUUUCUUUGUACCUGCGUGCAUGGUGUAGAUACCAGAAAUAACCGUCCUGUUUUCUGUACAACACCGAAUUGGGCAACACCCGGUAAGGUACGGGGUUGGCAAAGCCCGGGAUGGUUAACCCACUGGCACUGGCUGCUGCUGGGUCUUUGGGGACCAUCAACCCACUGUCCAAGGCAACAAACUCAGUUGCGAAUUUGGCAUCUAGAGUUGGUAGAUAAAGCAUUAACCCCAAAAAGCUAACUGGAGAAGCGAAGUAAAGAUAACAAGGGAUGCCUAGCUUGUUUGCCACAUCGAUCAUAGAUGUACAAAACAUGUCAACGAACAAGCCAGCAACUCGGACAGUAUUACUAUCGGAGUCGGACGUGGACUCAGUUGAAAUGAGGUGAGCGAUUGCAUUUUUUACGUGGAGUUUGUGCUUUGCUAUGAGCAGACAUAUGUAACCUAAGUAAGUUUGGUACUCAUCCGUUGACGGGGGAUCCACGGGAGGGAGGUUGAUGAAAUUAAUGUCGGUGGCCGUGGCAACACACGAUCGGAUGUAGGCGUUGACGAUGGGUCUUUCUGCUAUGUCGAUCAUGAGAAUGGUGGCGAAGAAUUGGGGGUCGUGAUUGGUGAGGCGGCGGGCAAAUUCAACAGUUGGAACAAGGUUCCCAAUGUUACCUGGGGUAGAGAUGAACACUACAUGGAACUUGGUCAUUGCGCUUGUCAAGACUCAGACUCAAGGUGUUUUAAUUUCUCUGUCUCUCUCUUUUUCUCUCUUAUAGCUCUAAAGUGGCGUAAGGGUCUUUAUACUUACCUCGCUGUCUCAAUCUCAAAUAAUAUGCCUUUUAUUUGUUUAUCUUUAACUACUCGAACAUUCCACUUAUUACAUUAUAUUUCAAAGAAAAUAGUAUCACUGAUUCGGAAUUCUUUCCACCUUAACCAUAGUAAAAUAUCUGAACGGUCAUUGAAUCAACAAACGAAAGAACCCUUCAGCAUUAAAUCCCAAACCAAUAACCUCUGGCAUGGUUCGCUAGCAGAGCUUUAUCUUUGAGCUUGCCUCUCUGUAUUCUGAAGUUUGUCCCUGGGAACUUGCUGAUCUAUAUAGUGUACUCUGAUUUAUUGCAAUGAAUAUAUCAAAGCAAACGAGGUAAAUCACUUAAAGAUUGUCAUAAUUGGCAUUAAAACUGUAUUUUGCCAUAAAAGUUUCUGCAUUACAUCUUUGCUUCCGAUAACAUGUAAAGCUGUGGUAGUCAUCAUCAAAAUAAACUGUUUCUGGUAAAAGCAGCUUGUGCCAUUUUUGUGAUAUCUCGUUGUCUACAUUGUGAUGUGCAAAUUGCUCUCUUUGCCCAAAGGUGAUUGAUGUCUUCUUGGUUUUGUUUUCUUUUUCUUCCUUUCUUCUGUCUUUUGUUUGAUUUGCAAAAUCACUUUUGAUCUUGGUUUUGUUGUGAUCCAAAUGACUUUUGAACAUUGGGAGAUUAUAUUGCAUGACAGAUAGAAUUUACAACCCUAACAUUACAUUCACUGUAUCUUUCAGCUAAUACCUAAAAUAAGUAAUUCAAAUAAUCAACUUGUUCAAAUAAAGCAAAGUCUCUAAAAUGGGUUUUGUUUAAACAGGAUAUGAUCAUUUAUAUUUUAAAUCAAGCAUAGAGAAGAGUCAAAAUUAGCAUGAAGGAAGAAGUAAACAAGUAACAUCAUGGUUGAUUUUUCUUCUUUCUUCUCCCAGGAAUGGACCCCAUAACUGAAAGAAAGAUGUUUCAGCAAUGAGCAAGAGCAGCCAGCCAACCUAUCACCACAGUAAGAACUAAGAUUAGAAGGAAAUGUUAUUUCUUAUUCUGUUUUAUAAGUAACUUGCGUAGUUUUCAGACCUUGAUUUGGCUAAGGGUUUGUAAAGCUUUUGGUAGGAAUGCAAUCGUCAUAGAAAAGUUCUUACAGCUAUCCACGCACUCAUUGAUGUGUGCUGAGUUUAUACAGUGAGGUUUGUCGGUAUAGGUAACAAAUGAAGAGAAACAGAUUAGGCUGGGUACCAGAUGUUCGAAACAGAUGAUAUUGCAAGUAUUGAUGCUCCUGUUUAAAACUGUUUAGGAAAGUUGGCCUUAAACUCACCUGAAAAGAGAAGGAUUGAUGUAGUGGGACACCUAGUUUGGAUUAAUGCUUAAUUGAGUUGAGUCGGAUCAAAAAUAGGUUCAUAUUUGUGAAGUCAAGCUUCUCACUCUUCCUAGUCCAAGACUUAAUUAGUAGACACUGCUGAUAUACCAAUUAUCUUACUCUUUUUUAAGGUAGUAUGGUAAACUUUUCCACCGUUAAGUAGAUCACAAAAUGUUGGCGGGUUUAAAGGAAAAAGUACUAGUUCCUGUCAAUUCCAAACAUCUGAACUAUCUAAUGUUUUCACAGUUUGAUCGAAGCAAGGCGUGUGUUUAAUCUAGGCUGCUUCUGAACUAUAUAUAGUGGCUUGAAGUUUUGUUCCUAUGUUGUGGCAGGUGUUUCCCACUUGUAUCAAAGUUGCUGCCAAAUCGAGAAUAUAGCGAGGCUUGUAGCAUUCUGAAUAUAAUGAACGGUCCUUGGUUAGAGACACCCUCUUGUGAUAAAUCGCCAGAGAUUGAGCAUAUAAAAUUUUCUGAGAACACUUAUCAGACACUUGUGUCUGUAUGUGUUGCUUUACUCAGUUCAGCGCAGUGGAGAAUGCCGGGGCACCAUUGCUGGGUUAGUGGAAGAAAGUCGUACAAUUUACUUUUGUAGAAAUGAAACUAGUUGUAUGGCUGUUAAUUUACUACCAGUAAGAAUUGUGAAAACAUGCAACAUAUAAUUAUAUGUAAAGAGCUUGACCAACUUUCUGACGUUUCUUUAAAAAAAAAAAAUUAAUGGCUGAUUUGAUUGGGAAAUUAAAUCUCCUCCAACCAAAGAAUGGCAUCAUCUCCAUGGAAAACGCUGCAGGAGGUUGAUCAUUUUUCAUUUGCAACGCAGACCAUCGUGAUGUGCAUGGUGCAACAACACAUACAAGGGGAAGAGAACAGAGGCUACUCAAGUCAACAACUGAUAGAAUCAUUCUUUUUGCAAUUUUGACUGAAACAGCAUACAUCAAAGGCCCAUCCAAUAGUGAUAGACGGCCCUUUUAUUUACUAUUACUAGUUUAUAUUUUCGCAUUCUUACGAUUCUGAAUUUUUGGAAGAACAAAGGACUGAUCGACCAUUGGAAUGGUGCUUGGUGGUGAAAUAUUUCACGUAUUGAACUGGUAUAUAUGAGAAGUGGGAAGUUGAAAGAAAUGAACUGCUCAUCAAGUCCCUGCAGUUAACUCCUCGAUCAGAGAAGCCAGCGACUUGUAGGAUGAACCAUUUGGCAUGAGAGCCGCCCUACUCUUUUGUUUCAUUUCCCUCAUCUUUCUCCUAACCUCAUCAUUGCCCUUCAUUAGACGCCGCAGCGCUCUCUCCAGCUCCUCGGGAGACACCAAGUCGCUGCCUUCCCUGUAAUCCAGUCUAAUCUCCACAGCCAGUUCUAGCUCCUUCACCAAUUGGAAGGCAUUCAUUUGCUGCUCUGCAUAAAGCGGCCACGUGGCUAUUGGAACACCAUACCAUAUACUCUCCAAGAUAGAAUUCCAUCCACAAUGGGAGACGAACCCUCCGAUUGCUUGGUGGCCCAAUAUCACAGCUUGCGGGACCCAUCCGCAAACCAACCCAAUUCCAGCGCUUCGGCUUCGAUCAACGAACCCUUGAGGCAGCAUCUCAAUUUCCUCCCCAUUCUUGUACUCGCCCGGAAGGUCCAAUUCCCUUUUGGGCGGUUCGCGGAUUGACCACAAGAAUCGGAAUCCGCUCCGUUCCAGUCCCACUGCUAUUUCCCUCAGCUGCGCCCCACUAAGGCUUCCCAUGCUGCCGAAACACAAGAACACCACGGAUGAAGGAGGUUGGUUGUCGAGCCACUGCACGAUGCUAUCGUGCUGAGCCCGUUCCGGAUGCCACUGCGCCGGUCCAACAAGGUCAAGAACUGGACCAAUGGGAUAGAUGGGAGGCCAAUCCCCAUUCCCAUUAGAAACAGAGUCGAUGGCAUACGGUUCCAGUUCUCGAAACGUGUUCACAACCAUUCCCUUGGUCUCCUUGUACCUGCGUGCAUGGUGUAGA
rnacentral:lncRNA from 1 species